AUUAAUCAAACGCAUCGCACACGAACAGAUGAUCCCGACUUAAGUGGGGUUGCGGUCGGUGUCGGUGUGCAGUGGGGCGGGUCGUUACCGUGUUACACCUCCGCGCGGCGAUAACGUUAUUUGGCUGGUUUAGGCCUUUUACAUAUUAUAUUAUACAUAGGGUAUACUGCAGGCACCGCCAGUCGGCACACGCCAAUAAGUGAUAAUAAUAUAUACGCGACUAUCGACAGCCGACAAACGUAUCGCAAGUCCGACGAUUUACAUUUACGGUUUUUAAUUUCUUCACCUCGAUCGUCCUUAUUGUGUCUAAAAAUUGGAACGUUUUACGUGAAUAUAAUUUCGAGUGCGGCCGGCUGCAAAGUCAUUAUAAUAUAUUUAUGUAUUAUCUAUAUAGCUGAUAUAUACGUUGUCAAAAGUAAAUCGUAAAUACCGGUAGUACGUAUGCGUAUUAUAUUAUCGGUACGUCAUGCACCGGACUAGAUUAUAUACGAGAAUAUUAUCGGUCGACGAUAUCCGCGAUGGGAUCGAAAUAUUUAGCUGUCGAUUUUUACCGUUCCGGUUGCAUGUAUUGAGAACACUGUGUCGAAUGAGCGUGCCCGUUCAGUAAACAGAAAAUUAUACAUAUAUACCUAUAUAUAUAUAAAAAAAAACUAUUUACCGCUGCAGAAAUACAUAUACACAGUGUGUGUAUGAUAUGGCGACCGUUUGCGAAAUGUCUGACACGUCGCCAAACGAGUUAAUGUAUUAUGUGCAGUGCUUGACUUGGAGAAGAAAUAUAAUAACUGAUAUAGGUACUUUGAUGACACGAAAAAAAUUUGCAUUUUUAGCUAAUUAAUAUACGAAAUCGCAGAAAUAUACAUAAACACUACGGGACAUUUUGCUUCAC